UACGGGGGGUGCGAGCGUUGUCCGGAAUCACUGGGCGUAAAGGGCGCGUAGGUGGCGUGAUAAGGGUGUGGUGAAAGCCCGGGGCUCAACCCCGGGUCUGCCAUGCCGACUGUCAGGCUAGAGUACUGUAGGGGCAGGCGGAAUUCCGGGUGUAGCGGUGGAAUGCGUAGAGAUCCGGAGGAACACCAGAGGCGAAGGCGGCCUACUGGGCUGCACCUGACGCUGAGCCGCGAAAGCCAGGGGAGCGAACGGG
rnacentral:rRNA from 1 species